rnacentral:lncRNA from 1 species
CUGCACCUAUACCGCAAGUGAGAAGGCAUGCCCUUUCAGGAGGAAUUUCAGGGUCAAUCUUGGUCACAUUGGCAAUGUCAACCACAGUGUAUUCACUGAGACUUGAAACAAACAUGAAAUGGUAUAUGAUCUCUCCAUUAAGGUCAGUGAAUCUAGUGGCACCGUGUCUAAGCAACCAGGGAGACACCUCAAAAGUGAAAUUAGAACAAAGGUUGCUCUUGGUUGAUUUGCAAUCUACACACUCCCCACAAUCUGGUAGGAAAAUUGGAACAACCACAUCUCCUUUUGUAACUUCAGUUACACCCUCCCCUACACUUUCCACAACCCUAUAUCACAUUAAAAACAGUUGAAAGUUGUAACAAAUCAUCAGAUCCCAUAGUCUUAAAUGUUUGAAUAUGCAGAAGAAAUUAAUGGAUGCACAAUAUAGCAAAUCAUUUACAAAUUACACCCAACAAGGAUAAUAUCAUGUUUGGAAGUCCUUCUAUAUUUGAUUCUAAAGCCAGAAUCAAUUACGGGGAGAAGUUUCUGUUAGUAGCUUCUGGCGGCUAGAAUUGAUUCUGAGAAAAUUAAGCUGAUCUAGACAGGCUAUAGACAUUAAAAAAUAAUAAUAUAAAUGAAGAAACUCACCCAACUGCCUCAUGACCCAGAAUUCUUGGGAAAAAGCCAGGAGGGUCCUUCAAAACAUUAAGAAAUUCAUUCAAAUAUAAUAAGAAAAAUGUGUGAAUAAACAAAAUGAUGGUGAAAUGGUAGUGACUAGUGAGUAAAUAAAAAAACCUGCAUCUUCCAAAAAGUGAGAUCAACAUGGCAGAGGGAGGUGCAUAUAAUAUGAAUCCGAACCUCACGAGACAGUGGUGGCGCCACAAUGAUCUCCUCAAUCACCAGUGGCUCACCAGCUUUUCUUGCAACCGCCGCUACAGUUCACAAUGAAAAAUGAAUCAAAUUACAUUGUUCAAAAGUUCAUCUCAAACUUCAAAUGAGAAUGUUUAAGGAAGAGGUAUUGCUGAAACACCUUUACAGCGGAUAGGUUGUCCUUCAGUUGUUGCUGUCGGUGGUAGUUUAUGUUCCAUGGCAAUGUCAGUGCAGCUCAACUAACAACAACAAAAGCUGUGUCUCUCUCUCUCUCUCUGUCUGCAGCACUGAACUAGUGGCAGUUUGGAAAGAAAGUGAAAAACGGCAUUCAUUUCACGUUGCUUGUGGAUGCUAUCAAUGUGUGGUUGACAUCAACGGGAGAGAAGGUAGAUAUUAGAAACAUGAAGUAAUUUCUUUUUACCAUUUUGCAGCGGUUUCUAACACCACAACAUUUUGUAACACUAAAAUAUCGUUGUAACGUGGUAUACCUGAAGGUGACGCAAGACAAUAUAUUUUCAUUGUAAUGAGUGUUUUUUUAAUUUAAAUAAAGUGUAUGUAUUAAAUUUAUAUCAUUUUUCUUUUAAUCUUUUAACUGUGAUUUGUGUAGUUGGGCUUGUAUUAAACUUGUUUCUUAACAUAUAAGCUUUUAAUGUUCAAGCCUGCAAGUGAGAGAUAAUAUUUCUAUUAUUAGAAGGAUAUGAGCGAUGCUUGUUGAGCUUAAGCAUACAACUUAUAACCCACUACCUUACAUGAAAACUUAGUUUGAGUCAUCAUAUUUAACUAGACUUCAUAGUAAGUUUUUGUAUUUGUCUAAACCAGUUCGAUUGUUGUGUUUAUUAUACUGUGCUUUUGUAAGGGUAAACCAUUAGAUUACUUAGGUACUGUUUAUGUCUACUAAUAUGCUGUCAAUAUAUGCUUAUGAACUAGCAAAGCUAAUUGGAUGGUAUAUCUAAGGUACUUCCUAUGUAAGACUAUUGUAUUGACUGUGUAUUUGUAAUGUGUAGUAGUGAGUUUGUAUGUGCAUUUAGUGCUCUGCCACAUAAUUCAUGUUUUCUAGUGUGAAUCAUAAGGAAAGCUUUUGUUGGACUACUAUAGAUUGUAAAAUUCUGCAUUAAGUACAUGUUGUAUCAGCAAGCACAUUAGAAUGCUUGAAUCAAUUUAUUUUUUUCUCAAAAUCAAUUAUGACAUUCAGAAGCUACUCACAGAUGUUUCGCCUCACAAUUAAUUUUAGCUUUAGAAUCAAUUAGUAUAAGGUUUUCCAAACAUACUAAUAAAUAAGCAUGGCACCUUGUCAGAAAUAUGUAUAGGAGGUACAUAACCCAACCAUUGUAUCGUCGAAUUCAGAUUUUCUGCAGCAAAUAAAUCACCCUAAACUCUUUAAUUUAAUAAGCUUUUCUUUAUUUACAUUAUUCCUAGCAAUGAUUACAAAAACCAAUGGUCUACAGUUGUGAAGAAGGGAGUUGUAGAGAACCUUUGCUCUAGAUGAUCCAACCUCUCAACAACACAUAUUUUUGUCCCUUUUCUACCUUCAUAGCCUCUAUACACAAACAUAAACAAGCAAUGCACCACAGUAGCGAUAAAAAUGGAUUCCAACUCAAGAAAUAUUUACAAAAAUUGUCCAUAAUUUAUAUUUGAUUUUAGCCACCAAAUAUCACCAUCACCUCCCCUAUUAAUUACUCUAGUGGUGCUUCAAGUGCAUUUGCAGUGCAAGAAUAGCACCUCUGUUUUAUUGAAUCUGUUUUAAUCAAAUCAAGUACAAAAGAGAAUAGCAUUGUACAAUAGUUCUAAUGUUGCAUAUCAUGAUUCAAGGGCUAACAUUACAUAAGAAUGAAUGUGCUCAUUUUUUCCAUCCAAAUCACACAUCGAAGACACUGCCCUUUACACAAUAAGUCGAAAGCUUCAUUGAUGUUCUUAAACCCCACCUCAUGAGUGACAAAUUCAUCCAACUGCAGUUCCUGUUGAUAAAGGGGAAAAUGUCAAAAGACUAGAACUGUCCCAAAUGGUAUCGCUGUAAUAAAGACAGAGAACAUAGCACAAAGAUGAAAGAUUAAUAGAAUGUUCACAUUUGACCUUGUCCAUGUAACGUUUAAGGAGAAUGGGCACAUGAGUCUUAGGUUUGAGUCCUCCAAACAAGGAUCCCAUGAGAGUUUUCCCAUCAUGAAGCACCUCACUAGAACUGAAAGUCAACAUGGCUCCUGGCUUGUCCACUCCUACAACAAUUGUUUUUCCCCAACCCUGAAGAUAAAAUCGUCAUAUGUUCCACUUAGUUAUAUCAUUAAGUAUUGAUCUAUGGAGCUCAUAGUAUUGGCAAGUUCAAUCAAGCCUUCCUCUAUCUAAUGUAAAGUAUAUAUGAUCAUAAUGUAUGUGGAAUAUUGGAAUCUCUGGUUAGUUAGCACAAACUAAAACUUUACAACUUUUAGUGCAUGUUUACAAUCGAUUCUGAAGGCAUAAACAAAUCUGUGGAGAAGCUUCUGUGAUGAGUAGUUUCUGGAUUUUUGAAUUGAUUACGAUGAAAGAGUAGUUAAUCCAAACAUGAACUUAGUGGCCAUUCAAACUUUAUCCAGAGGGGAGAUUGGUCAAAAUCAGAAUUUAUUAUAGCUUCAUUCAUGUUGUGUUUCAGAGUCUUUAAGAGUUUCAUGUACCUUUCUACAAGAAGCGAAUGCUUCAUGUACCAAUGACGCCAUACCAACACACUCGAAGCUAUAAUCUGCUCCCCCACCAGUCAUUUCUAUGAUAACCUGCACAGGAACCAUAUCUUGACAGACAAUUCUUGAAGACAUUGAACACAUGAAUAUGCUUACAAUAUUUACUUACAAAUUUUCCUUUAUCUUUUUGUUUGAUCUAAUGCAAUGAGGGAAAAAAUAAAAUCUCCUUCGCAACAAGGAUUGAAGUUUUCAAGAGGUUAGACCUGGCUCACAGGUUUGUUCCCACAUUCUCUAGAAUUGACAAAGUCUGUGAGUCCAAACUUUUUUCCUGAUUAGACGAGAAUGUUGAACACGUAAGAUCAAUUUCAGAAUUCUUGCAUAACAAUAACAUCAAAAGAAACCAUUUAAACAUUAUGAUAGAAACUGUAAUCAGAUGAGUAUUUCUGCAAAGAAGGCAUUACCCAUUUCAAAUUUUCCCGGGUUGACAUCAACUCCAAUAAUCCUAGUUGCUCCACAAAGUCUAGCUCCCUCAGCAACCUAGGAAACCAAUCAAUAGCAAUGAGCAUUUCAAGUAUAGAGAUGACCAAAGAACACUAAGUCACAAAGAAAACCAAAUCCAUGUUAAGAGUCCAUACUGCUAAUCCAAUUGAUCCCAGACCAAAAAUAGCCACUGUAGACCCUGGCUCCACGCUUGCUGUUCUCCAUGCAGCACCUACCCCUAAAAUCGAAAUUUUCAAUCAAGACUUCAAAACAUUGAAUCAAAUGUAUGUUAACAUGAAUAAGAAAACCUUUGUAGUUAUUCUAGGCCGAUUAAUUUGACCAUAAUUUAGAUUAGAACUAAUGUUGACCUUCUCUAUAUUUUUCAGAUAGAGUUUUCAUUGUUAAGGAAAUUACCUGUUGAUAUGCCACAACUGAGGAGGCAUGCCCUGUCAGGUGGAAUUUCAGGGUCAAUCUUGGUUACAUUGGCAACGUCGACCACAGUGUACUCACUGAAACUUGAAAUAAACAUGAAAUGAUGUAUGAUCUCUCCGUUUAGGUCAGUGAAUCUAGUGGUACCAUCUCUCGGCAUGGAAGGAGACACCUUGAAUGGGAAAUUAGUACAGCGAUUGCUCUUGGUUGAUUUGCAAUCUGUACACUCCCCACAAUCUGGUAAGUAAAUUGGAAUAACCACAUCUCCUUUUGUA